rnacentral:rRNA from 1 species
GACGGGCCGCACAAGCGGAGGAGCAUGUGGUUUAAUUCGAUGCAACGCGAAGAACCUUACCUGGUCUUGACAUCCCGGAGACCCUUAGGAAACUAGGGGGUGCUUCCAUCUGGAAGAAUCUGGAGACAGGUGCUGCAUGGCUGUCGUCAGCUCGUGUCGUGAGAUGUUGGGUUAAGUCCCGCAACGAGCGCAACCCUUGCCUUUAGUUGCCAGCAGUUCGGCUGGGCACUCUAAAGGGACUGCCGGUGUUAAACCGGAGGAAGGUGGGGAUGACGUCAAGUCCUCAUGGCCUUUAUGACCAGGGCUACACACGUACUACAAUGGCCGAUACAAAGGGCAGCGACACUGCGAGGUGAAGCCAAUCCCGUAAAAUCGGUCUCAGUCCGGAUUGGAGUCUGCAACUCGACUCCAUGAAGUUGGAAUCGCUAGUAAUCGUGGAUCAGCAUGCCACGGUGAAUACGUUCCCGGGCCUU